rnacentral:rRNA from 1 species
GAGUUUGAUCCUGGCUCAGGAUGAACGCUGGCGGCGUGCCUAAUACAUGCAAGUCGAGCGAACGGAUAAGGAGCUUGCUCCUUUGAAGUUAGCGGCGGACGGGUGAGUAACACGUGGGUAACCUACCUAUAAGACUGGAAUAACUUCGGGAAACCGGAGCUAAUGCCGGAUAACAUUUGGAACCGCAUGGUUCUAAAGUAAAAGAUGGUUUUGCUAUCACUUAUAGAUGGACCCGCGCCGUAUUAGCUAGUUGGUAAGGUAACGGCUUACCAAGGCAACGAUACGUAGCCGACCUGAGAGGGUGAUCGGCCACACUGGAACUGAGACACGGUCCAGACUCCUACGGGAGGCAGCAGUAGGGAAUCUUCCGCAAUGGACGAAAGUCUGACGGAGCAACGCCGCGUGAGUGAUGAAGGUUUUCGGAUCGUAAAACUCUGUUAUUAGGGAAGAACAAAUGUGUAAGUAACUGUGCACAUCUUGACGGUACCUAAUCAGAAAGCCACGGCUAACUACGUGCCAGCAGCCGCGGUAAAAUC